UUAAAUUGAAGAGUUUGAUCAUGGCUCAGAUUGAACGCUGGCGGCAGGCCUAACACAUGCAAGUCGAG
rnacentral:rRNA from 9 species